GCUAUAGAUGUUAGUUCUCAGAAGAACCUCUCACCCCACGCUGCAGACGCUCUGUCGGCAGAGUGUGGGAUGUCUCUGCUGCCUGAUUUAUAGAAAUUCAGCCGGUUCCCUCGGAGUCGCACCCAUUGGAGAAAACCAAAGCUCAGAGAGGGUAAGAAACUUCCCCAAGGUCACACAGCAGAGUCAGAAACAAAGCCUGGGCCCAGGGAAUCCUCAGCACUACUGUCUUUUGUGGCGUGUCUGAACUUGUCCACCGAGCUCCACGUCACACACAGAAUGAUGGAGGAGGACAGCCACACGGGUGAGCCAGCAAGGUCAUCCAAAUCAGGUGCUUGGCCCAGCUUGGCCCCAAAACCUCCUCAGUCAGAAGAAACAGAACAAGACAUGAAUUCAUGCAAACAGAUGCCCAAAGUUAGCUGUACAAAUAACAGCCUCCCAGCCCCGGUCUGAACUCAGCUGGGACAGCCUGCCUCCUCACCCUUCAAGGGUCUCAGACAACCUGCUUCUUUAGCCCUAGGCUACAGAGAAAAAGAAAAGGUCCAAAACUUAAUUUGGCGAGGAUUUCCUCCAAGGCACCGCUUCCCGAAUCUUCAACGAGCUGUGCUGCUCUUCUCCGGACCUGAGUUGAAGGCAGCGUAUCGAUCGCCAGGUCUGCAGCCCAACUCCUGAGCUCCGCUGCCUGGAGGGGCUGGGAAAGCCGGCAGGGCCCAGGAGCCCAGGAGGAGCGCAGGGGCUCUGCCCUCCCCUGGGCACCCGUAAAACCCUUCCCUGAAUUUCAAGGUGACGGCCAACAUACUGCACAGAAAGCACACACCAGACUAAAAUACGGGAGUGGACCCAGGUCAUAAGUGAACACUGCAAUGGGCCAAGAACGGGGGCACUUGUGUUUAUUCCCGUGUAAUUUGCCUACUUACUGAGCCCUGUUGUGUGACACAGGGCAUUGUGCCAGGGGCCGAUGGGACCAUCUCUGUACUCCCUCUGGGAGCUUACAGGCCCCUGGCAGAGCCUGUACUCUAGUGGGGGUGAGCAGAAGUGGAGGGGGUCAGCAAAGUCCCUAGGGGACCCUCAGACUGAGUAAUGGGAAACAGCUCGGGAUUCCAGCGCUGGGAGAAGAGAGAACCGGGGGGACGGUGGGCACAGGAGGUCGGCACAUUCAAAGAACAAAAACAUACAGGCCACUCCCGGGACUUCGAACAUAGAGGAAGGUGUCAUCGUGAUGGGUCCUCCGGAAGCCAGGGGCACUGAAAGUGAAAAGGUUAACAAGGGGGCAAAAUGAGGCCACGUCCACUGCCAUCACCGGCCUGCAGGUGAGGAGGCCCAAGUGCAAAAAGGCAAAGAACAGAUAUAGUAAAUGGCAGCGUCCUUCUGACACCAGGACCCAAGCCUGUGACCCAUGAUCUCCAGUUCCACUUUUCUGCGGCUUUAAAAUGUAGAAACAUAAACAAAGCAGGCAAGAAUAUCCAAUGGGAAAAAAGAAUGUCUCUUCAACAAAUGGUGUUGGGAAAACUGCACAGCAACAUGUAGAAGACUGAACCUGGACCACUUU